rnacentral:ncRNA from 1 species
AAGAAGGAUUGAAAGUCCGAAACGCUCUUCAAACAAAGGCGUUGGUUGAUAUAGACAGCAGGACUGCAACCAUGGAAGUAUAUACCCGCUAAAGAGUUAUAGCAACUCACCUGCCGAAUCAACUAGCCCUGAUAAUGGAUGGAGCUUGAGCGAGAGACCUAUACCCAACCGUUGCUGACUUGUGCGUUGUCUAGCGCCUGGCUGUAACG